GUCCUGGGCCAAUGGCGCGCAGCGCAGCCUUGUCAUACUUCUACCCGGCUGGCCAAUGGCGCAGCGCUCUUCUGCUCACAUGACGCCUUUCCGAGCGAUCUCCGGUCCUUUCAGGCGCUCAAUCCCGGCGAGUGCCGGCAUCACUGAAGACCUGACAUCGGAGGAAAUCGGACGUCCGCUUUUUCCUCUCCUCUCCUCUCCCUGUAACCGAUUGACCAGGUGUUCAUCAUAGACGAACUUUAUCUCCUUCCGACGAGCCUGAUAAAGCGGUCCUGCCGCCCGAGGAUGAGCGCCGAUUUUGCCGCUGGAAGAGACUUUUUUUUUUGUGUCCAAACCGGGGAAAGGCAGGCGGCGAUACAAUAACACCCAGAAGUUAUUGAAAUAAAUUGUCAUGAAAGGAGCUGAAACGAGAGAAAGAAGCUGAAGAGAAUUCACAGCGUUGACCUUCACCAAAGAGGCGAGAAGGGGAAGCAGAACCCAUCCCCCAACUCAAGCAAUGAGCUAUGAGGAGAAGACAACAAGAGUAUGAAAAGACUAACAAUGAUGGGAUGUAGAGAAGAAGAAAUAAAUCAUCCCCUUGGAGCAUACCCACAAGGUAAACCAGAGGAAUGAACCUGGCAGAUGAGCCACCUUAUUGUCGUAACUGUGUUUCAGCGGUUCCCAAAGUGAGUGCCGUCUCGGUGAGUAAUCUUCUCACUCUCUGUGUGAAGCUGAAAGCAGCAGUAAAUCAUUUUCCUCCAUGCAGGCAUGGACAGAACAGCCACCAGCGUACACAGAUGGGGGGAUGGUUAAAGAGGAGAUCUAGCAAGAGGCAGAAGACAAUGUUGUUUUUCUCAGUACUUGUCAUCCUCCCUUCUGAUGAAACACUGUUCCACCACAACCUUCCACCCAUAGGUUACAACAGCAAUGAUAGGAUUUUUCUUCAAAGCUUUUAAGGGGUUUUAGUUUUUAACACCAAAGGUCAAUUUGUUAUUCUCUAUUUCAUGCUCUAGUUUUCUAAAAGUAUAAAAACUAGUUAUGUCUUUGUUGUUAUAGCAUAAAUUUAUCUUUAAUAAAUUCAACAAAUAUUUUUCCGAGUUUUUUUCCAAGAUGAUUUUUUCUCUGAGUUACAUUCAUCCACUACAUAUGUCAGCUUUUCACCUUCAGGUAUUACAUCUACAACUUUCAAUCUGAACUGCAGCUUACACACAUGCUCUGCAGAAGACAGAGUGAAUUCAAUUCCACGUUCUGUCCAUUUCAUUUCAGGUUAACUCAUUUCAUAUCACACCAGUACAGAUCCACUCAUGUCUUUCUUCUUGCUCCUCAUGUCUUGCACUUAUUUUGUACUGUGCGUCUAAACUGAUUUUAUGCUCCCUUCAGUUCUUUCUUUUAUAUUUUUUUAUUUUCUCAUCAAUAUGUUAUAUUUGUUUCAUGCAUAUGAAACCAGCAUUCAUCUCUAUUUACAUACCUGUAUUACAUUAUUGCUUUAUGGCAGUGGACUCAUAAAGUGGCAUAGGUUUUUUUUUUUUAUUAUCCACAACCAGGAAAAAAAACAGGAGAUGAUGAAAUGGUUUGGCAGGGUUAUGCGAAGUUGAGCGAUGGUUGUGUCUGUCUAAAUCAUAAGGGCAAGACAAGAAAAAAAUAUUUUUAAAUAGAAGUGGUUUACGUAGAACUCCUUUGAGGCAGAAAUGCCUUCUUUCAUCAUUCUUUUGAUGGAUGUACCAUGUAUCAUCCACCUGGGAUUAGUGGAAACAUAAAUUGUGCCGUGAUAAACAAUCCCAUUGUUUUAGGGACUUGUCAAAGGAUGCAUAAGUUGUCUUGGGAAGAAAGGAAGGAUAAAGGUGGAGGAUGUAAAAAAAUAUUCAGACAUGCUACUGCCUUUUCCUCUUCGCCCUCCCUUUUUAUCCCCCUAUAGAUGUGAUGUUUUCCAGCCGCACACGAGUCUAUCUAAGUUAGCUUUGACUUAAAUAGCAGUGUGGAUCUCCAUUGGUGUCCAUUUGGAUGGAGAGAGGCGAGGUUAAAAAGGCUCAGGCCGCAGUGUGUCAGAAGGUUUCAUUUUACAGAUGUAAAUGUAUGGGAAGAUGGCAGGCAGAUGAGUUGCUCUGUCAUGUCGUAUUGAGUCAGUGGAGGAUUUUGGAGGGAUGCAGUGGGUAAUCGUCAGAUUCAUGCUUGCGCAAGAAAAAGGCAAAUGAUGCACAAUGGUCCACAAUGGUCAUGGACAAGACAGCUGGGGAACAAGCAUGAAAACGUAAAGGACAGGUGGAAGACUAGAUAACAUUUGUGUUUGCACAGAUGGCUUUCAUGCAGUUUGAAACUGGAGGUAUCAGUGAAAUAUUCUCAGAAAGGCAGAAUAAGCGGUUUUGCAGACAAGAAUAUACUGAUCGGGGGAUCAACAACAAAGAGAGAGGGACAUGCAGGCCACUGAGUUUCUAAGUUAGCUUUCGAGAUAUUUAAAAGACAGAAUGUAUAAUGUGGAGCUAGUAAAUCUAGAAGUGCUGAGGGACUGUGCAGUGGGUUCCCUAAUGUCUUUAUAAGAUCAUAAAAGCAAUGCACUUCCUGGCCUUUCUCUAAUUGCUGUGAAGAAUAGGAAGGGGGAGUCUCAACACUAUGUGGCUAGUAAAUGAAGCCUCCAUUUCCUCUCCGUGCAGCUUAUUGGGGUGAUUCAUUAUUCGCCACCAUUUUGAAAACACCAACACAGAGGAAGAGCAGCGAAGCAAGGAAAUUUACAUUUAACAUUUAGGUUAAGAAGCAAGAUUCAGAGGAAUUGUUGUAAUGUCAAAGGUAAAGCUGAAUGAAAACUGACAGAGGGUUAUCCACACAAGGUACAAUCCAAACCCUGUCUCAACAGUUUCUAAUAAAAGCAAAAUGAGAUUGUAGAUCGAGCAAAAAUCUUUACUCCCUUAGCAGGAAAAUGACUAGGCUCCCCCAAGGGGGCUGUACACUGAGCGUUUGAGAAGCAAUGUUUGACAUCAUUGGAAAAGAAAACAUUUUCAUGUCACAAACUGCUUGUCUGAAGAACCGAGCCCCAAUAUUCCAACCCACAUGCAAGCACAGAGAUGAGCAUAGCUUUCAAAUAAGAAAAUAUUUAGUUUCCUCUAUCUCAUCUUCGUACACACAUACACUUUAAACUUGUCUCUAAAAUAUAAACUAAACUGGAUAAGUACUGGCGUACUUGGAGGAACCAUUGUUGGUAAAAAGUGCUUCGAGUAGUGACAGUUUCAGUUCAUCGGGCUGAAAAUGCCAUCAAUCUUGGUGGAGCAUGAAAUAGAGAGGUUGGUGUCUUAAAAAACAGAAAACAAGCUGCAUUGGGAAAUUUUCAAUUUAAUUUCAAUACAUGUUUACACAUGUUAUCGAUGUUAAAAUUGCCCAGAAAGAAAAGUCUUCUGGACUGGUGUUGGUCAUACAGAUAGAAUCACGAAAUGCCAACCAAGAAGGAUUUUUAAAUCUGUUAUGAUUGCAGAAUAUUUUUGUACUGUCACAAGUAUUACUGAAAAAAUAAAAUAAAAUAAACUAUGCUUCAAGCUCA